AAAGAAAUAAGAUGUGUUAUGAUUGCCAAUGAGACAACUCUCAACAAGAGACCAAAUGGCACACAAAUCAACAAUUAUAGGUCACCUUACGGCACCAGGCUGAAGCUAGCGAACAAUAAGGCGAUAUAUCGAGAAACAAAAAAAAAGGCAGAAAAUCCGUCCAGAUAUAGCAAUUUUAAUUCAAAAUUUUGAAAUGGUUUUUAUCCCAUCCAUUGAUAAAACAAGUCACAUCUCUUUUUAGGCUAAUAUUCCUUACAGGACCACAAUAACUCCGCAUCUAUCAACGGAUUAAUUGUAGGUGUAGGAGCACCAAUGCACCCACUUCAAUUUAGAACGUAUGUAAAAGUAGUCCUACUUUGUAAAAUAAAGCACCUUUGAUGUCAUUGUUUAAUUAAAGUAACAUACACAUAUGAAGAACAAGAUCGGGCUAUUCCAGGGCUUCUAGAGAAAAAUAAUGAAGGUUGUCAUGUGGUAUGACAAUAUAGCUCUUGUAGAGGAGAAAUAGGCGCUUCUUUUGUGCAAGGUAUCGAAAGGUGCUAUGUUCAAAAAUCUGAAACUAGCCCAAAAUUUGAAAAAAAUGGCAAAAAAACAGAGUGUCGGCUUAUUCCAGGGCUUUAGUGAAAAAUAAUGAUGGGUGUCACGGGGUAUGACUAUAUCGGUAUUGUAGAGGAGAAACAGGAGCUUCUUUUGCGUAAGGUAUCGAAAGGCGCUAUGUUAAAAAAUCUGAAACUAGAAAUCAAAAUUUGAAAAAAGUGGCAAAAAACAGGGUGCCGGCUUAUUCCAGGGCUUCUAGAGAAAAAUAAUGAGGGGUGUCACGGGGUAUGACUAUAUAUGUCUUGUAGAGGAGAAACGGGAGCUUCUUUUGAGCAAGGUAUAGAAAGGCGCUAUGUUCAAAAAUC
rnacentral:lncRNA from 1 species